AAUGGGCCGCAAGCCUGAUGCAGCCAUGCCCGCGUGUAUGAAGAAGGCCUUCGGGUUGUAAAGUACUUUCAGCGGGGAGGAAGGCGAUAAGGUUAAUAACCUUGUCGAUUGACGUUACCCGCAAAAGAAGCACCGGCUAACUCCGUGCCAGCAGCCGCGGUAA
rnacentral:rRNA from 1 species